rnacentral:rRNA from 1 species
GACGAAUGCUUGCGGCGUGCUUAACACAUGCAAGUCGAACGGUGAAGGGGAGCUUGCUCCCUGGAUCAGUGGCGAACGUGUGAGUAACACGUGGGCAACCUGCCCCCCACUUCGGGAUAACCAUUCGAAAGGAUGACUAAUACCGGUAAUGCGCCCGGGUGACAUCUCUGGCGUUGGCUAGUUUUUCGGUGAGGGAUGGUGCCGCGGACUAUCAUCUUGGUGGUGAGGUAACGGCUCAGAAAGGCGAAGACGGGUAGCCGGCCUGAGAGGGCGACCGGCCACACUGGGACUGAGACACGGCCAAGACGCCUACGGGAAGCAGAAGUGGGGAAUAUUGCACAAUGGGCGCAAGCCUGAUGCAGCUACGCCGCGUGAGGGAUGAAGGCCUUCGGGUUGUAAACCUCUUUCAGUAGGGACGAAGCGCAAGUGACGCUACCUAAAGAAGAAGCACCGGCUAACUACGUGCCAGCAGCCGCAGUAA